AAUAAAAAAAGCUUGUAUUGAAGUUAGAAACUGUUGAGCAUGAUCAAGGGAAUAUGCUUCCUCGAAGAAGUUGAUUUAUCUUUGUUAUAUGCUUGUAUGUUUCGGCCUACUAACUGUAUUAUAAAAUGAUGCGCUAGAUUUACGUUCACAUAUGUGCAUAGAAGGCAACAAAAGGCAUUUGAAUUAUGUUAUUCAAUUAAAAUAGUCAUAAGACAUAAGGGGAUAUGUUUUUCAAUAAAACGGAAAACUCCGAUUACAACCUUGUUUUAACAAUCUUGAGUUAAAUUUUGACCAUCCUUAUUUUGGAAGCAUUAUCCUUCCAUUGAAUACAUUUAU